rnacentral:rRNA from 1 species
AAUGAACGCUGGCGGCGCGCCUAAUACAUGCAAGUCAAGCGAGAAGACGUAGCAAUACGUUUGUAAAGCGGCGAACGGGUGAGGAAUACAUGGGUAACCUACCCUAGAGUGGGGAAUAACUAGCCGAAAGGUUAGCUAAUACCGCGUACGCUCCUUGGACUUCGGUUCAGGGAGGAAAGCGAUGCCGAGGGUAUCGCGCUCUUGGAUGGGCUCAUGUCCUAUCAGCUUGUUGGGAGGUAACGGCUCACCAAGGCUUCGACGGGUAGCUGGUCUGAGAGGACGAUCAGCCACACUGGGCACUGCGACACGGGCCAGACUCCUACGGGAGGCAGCAGUAAGGAAUAUUGCGCAAUGGGCGAAAGCCUGACGCAGCGACGCCGCGUGGGGGA